rnacentral:rRNA from 1 species
GGGCGUAAAGACGCAUGCAGGUGGUUUGUUUAAGUUACAGAUGUGAAAGACCCGGGGCGUCAACCUACGGAAUAGCAUUUGUAAACUAGGCAGACUAGAGUACUGUAGAGGGGGGUAGGAAUUUCAGGUGUAGCGGUGAAAUGCGUAGAGAUCUGAAGGAAUACCGGUGGCGAAGGCGGCCCCCUCGGACAGAUACUGACACUCAGAUGCGAAAGCGUGGGGAGCAAACAGGAUUAGAUACCCUGGUAG